GAUGAACGCUGGCGGCGUGCCUAAUACAUGCAAGUCGAGCGAACAGACGAGGAGCUUGCUCCUCUGACGUUAGCGGCGGACGGGUGAGUAACACGUGGAUAACCUACCUAUAAGACUGGGAGAACUUCGGGAAACCGGAGCUAAUACCGGAUAAUAUAUUGAACCGGAUGGUUCAAUAGUGAAAGACGGUUUUGCUGAUACAUAUAGAUGGAUCCGCGCCGCAUUAGCUAGUUGGUAAGGGAACGGCUUACCAAGGCAACGAUGCGUAGCCGACCUGAGAGGGUGAUCGGCCACACUGGAACUGAGACACGGUCCAGACUCCUACGGGAGGCAGCAGUAGGGAAUCUUCCGCAAUGGGCGAAAGCCUGACGGAGCAACGCCGCGUGAGUGAUGAAGGUCUUCGGAUCGUAAAACUCUGUUAUUAGGGAAGAACAAAUGUGUAAGUAACUAUGCACGUCUUGACGGUACCUAAUCAGAAAGCCACGGCUAACUACGUG
rnacentral:rRNA from 1 species